rnacentral:rRNA from 1 species
UACGUAGGGGGCUAGCGUUGUCCGGAAUCAUUGGGCGUAAAGAGCGCGUAGGCGGCCAGAUAAGUCCGGUGUGAAAGUCACAGGCUCAACCUGUGAAUGCCGCUGGAAACUGUCUGGCUAGAGUCCGGGAGGGGCGAGUGGAAUUCCUGGUGUAGCGGUGAAAUGCGCAGAUAUCAGGAGGAACACCAAUGGCGAAGGCAGCUCGUGG